UUAGAUUGCAGGUAAGAAUAUUUAUGCUGUAUAUCUGUGAUAACUGAAUGAAAGUUUAAGCGUUAUGUAAGAACGCCAGCCACAGAGCCACUAUUAUAGUGGUGUUUUUUUAU
rnacentral:ncRNA from 1 species